rnacentral:RNase_P_RNA from 1 species
CCAGGGGGCCGGGCAGCCGCGUCCUUCGUCAAGCUCAGGAUGAGCGGGGGGAAGGCCGAGGAAAGUCCGGGCUCCACGAAACAAGGGUGGCGGGUAACGCCCGCCGGGCUUGCAACGGUCAAGGGAAAGUGCCACAGAGAGCAGACCGCUAACCGGAGCGAUCCGGCAGCAAGGGUGAAAGGGUGCGGUAAGAGCGCACCGCGCGACCGGCAACGGAAGCGGCAUGGCAAACCCCACUCGGAGCAAGAUCGAAUAGGGACUGCGCGCUCUUCGGAGCAGGCCUGUUUCGGGCCAGCAGUCCGGGUUGAUUGCUUGAGCGUUCCGGCAACGGUCCGCCUAGAGGAAUGGCUGCCAGUGCCGAUACGGUCCAACCUUGGUUGGAUACCGUCGGCGCUACAGAACCCGGCUUACAGGCCCCCUGGCGCA